CUUAGUGCCUGGCAUUUUUUGUGUCUUGCUGCUCGUACUCUUACUUACUCUUGCCUUAGCCUGUGACAAACUGGUUGAGGUGCGGGGUAAUCUAACCUAUGAACCAAACCCCUCGGAGCAGCAGGAGCUCCAGCCCCGUACCGGUGGUUACGCUUAUACACCGCACCAGCAGAAGCAUCCGUGGACAAGCCCCCUGAGUUUGGACUCCUUCCAGAGAAAAUGGCAGCUCCGACCACCCCAACUGCUUCCGUUGGACUUAAGCACUCGGUUUUCAUUUGGCUUCGCAGACGAGUCCAAGCCCUGUCUGAUAUUCUCUGCAUGCCCAGAGAAUUGCGUGUCCUUCAAGCACGGCCGAACAUGACUACAAAGAGCAACUUUAACAGCAGUGCGGGCGCGAACACACCGCACACUCUCACGCCUUCAUCGGUCGUGCGUCGUCAUUUUCCCCUAAACGGCCCCGCGCUGCUGGGCACCACUGGCCCGAUGAACUCGACACGUGCGCGACACGCUUCGGUGGAGCGUCUCAAACCACGAGGGGGAAUCGAGGGUGGGAGCUCACGCAUGUGCACAACCACGAAAGCUACGCGUUCAACGGCGGCGGGAGUGAGAGAACGUUUCGAAAUCUCCACCCCGUCGCUCUUUUCACGGAUUCAUGAGAGUGGAUAUGCAGCAGAAGGAGCCACGUCGAUAGCUUGCAUCCACGGAGUCGACACCGUAGACGUGUGCGGUUUAGCGGUUUCAACGCAGCGAUGCUACCUGUUGUUUUCAUAGGAUUGAAAGUUCUGCGAACAGUAGUCAUUUCAUCUCAUUUCCCCGGACCCUGGGAAGAAGGAUACACGCAGCAUCCAUACAAAGAAAAAUGCAUCCAGAAUACAACAAAAACAAACAAAAAGAAAGUAGAGCAACCGUGCUAUUAAAAGAUUCUACACACCGAACAUAAUAAUGGUGAAAUAAGGCACACUGACACCGCCGGAUACGACGCAGGGAGAUAUGUUGCCUGCGCAGCCAACAAACAGUUCGAAGGGAUGGCAGCAAUAUCAGUAGUUGCAAGGCACAUUGAGGUGGCCGAGCAGGUCACCAUAUCAUUGGCCACGCGGACUGGCUGAGGGGACGUGCAAACAUUGUCAUCAUAGACUCCCAGGCGGCCUGUCCCCAUUUCUGAGCAAGGAGAAUUAGCUAGACAUCAUUUAACACCACCAAGAAGGAAAACAUCCCGUACGUUGCUUGGACCUCGGGACAUGAAUGCGGCACUUUUGAAGCCUCAAAUUUAGACCAUUUCUCAGCAAAAAUUCAAUAAGAGCCCUUAAAACAUCACGCUGACAGCAUGGACACGUAGGCCUUGCAUUUUAUGGACUAACUGCUGGACGAAAAGGGCCCGCUUUAAGGUGCGGUGAUGCCCUAUUGAUCUUGAAAGCAACCUUCACGUAUUCCAAUUGCUAAGACAGGAUACUUGAACGAGGACGAUCGAAUUUGCAGCAGGCUUGACGACUAUUCGGUGGUCGCAUCAUGAA